CCUACGGGUGGCAGCAGUGGGGAAUAUUGGGCAAUGGGCGCAAGCCUGACCCAGCGACGCCGCGUGAAGGAAGAAGGCUUUCGGGUUGUAAACUUCUUUUAAGAGGGAAGAACAGACGACGUUACCUCUUGAAUAAGCCACGGCUAACUACGUGCCAGCAGCCGCGGUAAUACGGAGGUAGCAAGCGUUGUCCGGAUUUACUGGGUGUAAAGGGCGUGUAGCCGGGCUGACAAGUCAGAUGUGAAAUUCCGGGGCUCAACCUCGGACCUGCAUUUGAAACUGUUGGUCUUGAGUAUCGGAGAGGAAGGCGGAAUUCCUAGUGUAGCGGUGAAAUGCGUAGAUAUUAGGAGGAACACCAGUGGCGAAGGCGGCUUGCUGGACGACAACUGACGGUGAGGCGCGAAAGCGUGGGGAGCAAACAGGAUUAGAUACCCGGGUAGUC
rnacentral:rRNA from 1 species